UGUAACAAAGUUGCACAUGUACCCCUGAACUUAACGCUAAAAAAAUGUGAGGGAGAAUAAAUUGUUCUGUCUCAAAAAAAUAUUUUUCAGAAAAUGUUUGAAUGUGAAUGGGAGAGGAGAGUAGAAAUGGGAAGGAACAAGAAGAUUCCAGGGGAGUAACCUAACAAACAUUCUCAAUCCACAAAUGACUGCAAAGCAGAUAACCAGAGUCCUGAUGAUUAACUGCUGUCAGUGGAACUGCCUGUUUUUUCUCAAGUGGAUCUUUCCUUCUAUGCAAAAGCAGUUGAAGUGGGUGUCUGUACGCUGCGUCCUAGCCCUGUGCCGAUUUCCUGCCGUUUCCUAUUGAGGCUGGCCUUGUGGGUGUGCAGAUGUUUUUUUCAGGGCUAAUGUGAUGGAAUGGUGGUGUAACUUAGUGUGAACACGCCGUGGUGUGUGAGCUCUUCACGUUCCCGUCUAGAGACAGCCGAGGCUGGUUUUGAAGAAGGGAAAGCUGGCUCAUGUGUGACUGUUCACUUACCUGCCCUUAAUCUCACUUCCAGAAAAGGUAAAAUUGCUCCAUUCCCAGAAGAGGCCAGCAAGGAGCUCGCUCCUGGGUUGGUUCAGGGUUGUGUCUCAAUGGGCAUCUUUUCAGAGCUAGGUUAGAGCCAAAAUCUACUUUGCUGAGUCCCCUUUUCUAGGUGUG
rnacentral:lncRNA from 1 species